rnacentral:lncRNA from 1 species
CUGGGUUCACAUGGCAGAGCACACUGAGUGUUGACAGAGCCAAUAGAAGUUCCAAGGAAUGUGUUAAUCAUCUUGACAGCACCCUUGAGGUUGCCAGGGAAGUGUGGAACACAGGCAGAGCCAUGAAUCUUGGCCUUACCCAGAAGCACAAACCACCAUCUACGGGGGUAGGCAGCCACCCCUGCACCUGCCUUUCUCUGGAGCUGUAUAUGGGUGACGGAGCUUCAGGAGAUAAAAACCCCAUAUGGAAGAUGUCCUCCCUGUACCAGGAGGAAAGUACCAUUUUCAUCAUCAAGGACCGGAAGUUGAAGCUGACGGAAUUCUGUAUCAACAGACCUUGUUAAAACAAUUCUUGUCUUCCUUUAGCCGCCCCACAUAUUUUAGUUACUUUUCCACUAUUCUCUCUCUUUGUUCAACAUAGUAUAAAAGCAUUUAGAUUCUGCCACUUCUUUGGGUCUUCAUUUCCUUAUGAAGGCUACUGUGUCAUGCAAAACUUAUAUAAAAUAA